GACGAACGCUGGCGGCGUGCCUAAUACAUGCAAGUCGAGCGGACCAUUCCUUCGGGAAUCGUUAGCGGCGGACGGGUGAGUAACACGUAGGCAACCUGCCUGUAAGACUGGGAUAACUACCGGAAACGGUAGCUAAGACCGGAUAACGGGUUUCUUCACCUGAAGAGAUCAUGAAACACCGAGCAAUCUGGGGCUUACAGAUGGGCCUGCGGCGCAUGAGCUAGUUGGUAGGGUAACGGCCUACCAAGGCGACGAUGCGUAGCCGACCUGGGAGGGUGAUCGGCCACACUGGGACUGAGACACGGCCCAGACUCCUACGGGAGGCAGCAGUAGGGAAUCUUCCGCAAUGGACGCAAGUCUGACGGAGCAACGCCGCGUGAGUGAUGAAGGUUUUCGGAUCGUAAAGCUCUGUUGCCAGGGAAGAACGCCCAGGAGAGUAACUGCUCUUGGGGUGACGGUACCUGAGAAGAAAGCCCCGGCUAACUACGUGCCAGCCGCCGCGGUAAUAC
rnacentral:rRNA from 1 species